GACGAACGCUGGCGGCGUGCUUAACACAUGCAAGUCGAACGGUGAAGGGACCUGUUUUUGCUGGUUUUGGAUGAGUGGCGAACGGGUGAGUCACACGUGAGUAACCUGUUCCCUUCUUCUGGAUAACCGCAUGACAGUUUGUCUAAUACGGUAUAUUCUUCGCCUGUUGCAUGUUGGGUUUGGGAAAGAUAUUGUUUCGGUGGGGGAUGGGCUCGCGUUCUAUCAGCUUGUUGGUGGGGUGAUGGCCUACCAAGGCGGUGACAGGUAGCCGGCCUGAGAGGGUGGACGGACUGAGAGGGACAGAGGCACCACACAGACUCGGAAGGGAGGCAGAAGUAGGGAAUAGUGAACAAUGGGAGAAAGCCUGAUGCAGGGAGGCCGCGUGAGGGAUGGAGGCGUGCGGGUUGUAAACGUCUUUCGCGAGUAAAGCAGGCCUGUCCCUAUUGUGGAUGGGUUGACGGUAACUGGACAAGAAGCGACGGCUAACUACGUG
rnacentral:rRNA from 1 species